GGAGAAGGGGAACCAAAACCUACUUUACCACCAAAUCAACAAAAACCCUUCUCCAAAUCAACAAAAACCCUUCUCCAAAUCAAAGCGUCUCCACCUCAAAACCGUCGUCUCCUCCACAAAAUCGUUGUCUCCACCAGAAAAUCGAAUCCUCCACGAUUUUGGAAGACGGUGAACCAAAAGCCUACUUCAACAAUGGUGGACACUCGAGCAUCUGGAUCUGCUAGUCAUGACGGAAAAAUGUAUCAGAGAACGAACGUGAAGAAGAAGAUUUUGCGGAUCCCUAAAGCACCGAAAUAGGACGUUCUUUUGUAAGUAUUUAACAAUGAUUGGUUGUCACAAUCAAUGCAAAUCAGUGAUCAACGCACCUAUUCA